rnacentral:rRNA from 1 species
UGGGGAAUCUUGCACAAUGGGGGCAACCCUGAUGCAGCGACGCCGCGUGAGCGAUGAAGCCCUUCGGGGCGUAAAGCUCUUUCGACCGGAACGAUAAUGACGGUACCGGGAGAAGAAGCUGCGGCUAACUACGUGCCAGCAGCCGCGGUAAUACGUAGGCAGCAAGCGUUGUUCGGAGUCACUGGGCGUAAAGAGUGCGUAGGCGGUUUUCUAAGUUCGGUGUGAAAUCUCCCGGCUUAACUGGGAGGGUGCGCCGAAGACUGGGAAGCUGGAGUGUGGGAAAGGCAGGCGGAAUUCCUGGUGUAGCGGUGAAAUGCGUAGAUAUCAGGAGGAACACCGGCGGUGUAGACGGCUUGCUAGACCAUAACUGACGCUGAGGCACGAAAGCGUGGGUAGCAAACA